UGGAAGGAGGAGUGGACGAGAGAAAGUGAAAAAAGUGCCACGGGAGGUCUGGAAGGAAAAUCAAUCACUCGUCACAGGCGCGCGGGGGAAUCCGGCACACGUUCAGUUGGCUUUGCGCGAGACUCACGUCCGGUCCGAGUGUGCGCUUGCGCUCGGUCUCUACAAACAGCACGAACUGUCCGGAGAAAGUAUCGAACAGCUGAAACGGAAUGAAUACAUUAUUAUUUUAGGAUAGCUUGGGAAUAUUUGAGAAUCGGUAAAGAAGAAAAGUAUGUUGCGCACUUUAGCACGCUAAGAGAUUAAAAAAAAGAAAGAAAAAGAAAAACGGAUGAAGCUAUAAAAAAAUCCUCAAAAAUUUCGAUUAUAAAUUAUUUUUCUAACGCAUUCAUUGUAUUCAAAGAAAGGUUUGUUCAGCUAUGGCGUUGCGCGUGUCGGUGCCGGUUCUGUGUGUCGUCAUGGUGAUGCUCUCCGAGGGACGCAGCGUGCGAGUCGUCAGCGGAAAGACGGUUUGCAUGGGCGGGCGAGAGCAGCCCUGCUACAAGAUCGCCUACUUCCGUGACGUGUUGAGCCGCAUUGCAUUCUGGGAAGCCCAGCAGGCCUGCGAGAUGGACGGGGGAUCCUUGCUGAGCAUCGAAAGCGCCGCAGAGCAGAGAAACAUAGAACAUCUACUACAGGAACUUCGGACCGGGGCAUCUGGUAGCUCCGGGUCGGGUGGGGGAAUAGCUGACGGAGAUUUCUGGAUCGGGUUGACGCGGGCAGAGCCUGAGGAGCAGAACCUUCCAGAACAGACCAACAGCUUCCCUCCCUGUCCAGACCUGUACUCCUGGACGGACGGCAGCGUCUCCAGCUUCAGGAACUGGUAUUUUGACGAGCCUUCUUGUGGAGGCGAGGCCUGUGUCGUCAUGUAUCAUCAGCCCACGGCACUUCCUGGUCUGGGCGGGGCUUAUAUCUACCAAUGGAACGACGACCGCUGCAACAUGAAGCACAACUUUAUCUGCAAAUAUGAUCCAGAGAGCCACCUGGUGAAGGAACAUAGCGACCAACCAGUAGUACACGAGAAAGAGCCCACGUUUGAGACAGAGCCAGACAGACAGCCCGGCGGGACAGAGGAGAGCUCCACCCAUGUCGUCAUGGCUGGCAGCUCAGGUAUGCUGCUGGUGUAUGUCAUCAUACCCACGAUCCCCCUGAUUCUGCUCAUCCUGGUGGCUUCUGGGACUUGCUGUUUUCAAAUGUUCAGCAGAAGCAAGCCACAGACAAAGACCAGCAUCAACAAAUCGACUCUCUGGAUCUCCAAGGGCCCAAAGGUGGAGAGCAUGGAGGUUUAGAGGAACCGCAGUGACAACACAACGAUGUCACGCUAUUCCAUGGAACUGCUGCGCUGGAAGAUGACAUACUGCAACCCAUCACAAACCACCACCACCACCAUCACAAUCAUCAUCAUCAUCAUCAUCAUCACCACCAUUUACUUUGGAAGAGUAGGACGUGGAUAGGGGCGGAGCUGACGGGGAGGAUGACAUCAUCGAGUUUUCCAUUAUGACAUCACUGCCCUCUCCUAACCUGACAAACAUCUCAGCACCUUUUGACCAUGGCGAUUCAGAGAUGUGAGCUAAGGAGAGGACUGUGAUGUCAUAAGGAAAACAAGUUUGGUAACCGGUCUCCCUCCCAGGUCAAACUGUUCUCACGCCACCACCACCACCACCACCACCAACACCACCAACACCCCUCUUUCUAUGCUCCUAAAUCAGAAUGCUGCAAUCUCCCAGGGCCCCUGAACGCACCACCUUUAGACAGUCCUGCUGAGAAUGGAGCAGACUUCACACCACUCCCUGACAAACUAGUGUGAUAUCUAUACAUAGAGUUAUGUAUGUGUGUGAUUAGGGCAGUCAGGGCGUUGAACUCACAGGCCAAAGGGUUCUGGGUUCGAUCCCCAAAUGUCGUUAGCUUACUUGUCCACAUCCUAGAAAAACAUGCCUGACCGCUAUACCUGCUCCUAAACAACCUGAAUCUCUGAACUGUAUGUUGCUCGGGAUACACAAGUCUUUUGAAUAACUUAGUAUUUACCUGCUUUAUAUAUAUUUAUAUUUUAUAUAUUUUAUUGUCUUGAACCUCGACCCUAGAGUGUGGUAACCGACCUUAAUGAUCAGGGGGGAACAAGGUCUCUGGACUUACUGUUGAGUAAAAAUUGUUGGAUAAUGCGUGUACACAUCCUAUGUGUUGACAAGAAUCUGGAUGCAAUCGGACACGUGCACAGAGUUGUAGGUGUGUGUGUACAUGUUCUGAUGUUCUGCAGCAAGUCGUUUUGUAUGUGUGUGAGCAUAUUUUUUCAAUGUGUGUGUCUACUGUCUAUAUUGUUGGUUUGUUUGAGUGUGUCUGCGGAUGUGUGUGUGUGUGGGUGUGUGUGUGUGUGUGUGUGUGUGCGUGUGUGUGUGUGUGUUAUGUAUGUAAAAAGGGUACCUAUUUGUACCCUUAAAGUGGCAGUUAUUCUUUAGCAUGUGAUACUUAAUGGAAGAGGUAAUCAAACCACAAUGAUGAACUCAUUAAUAAACCAUGAAAUUUAAAACA